rnacentral:rRNA from 1 species
UACGUAGGGUCCAAGCGUUAUCCGGAAUCACUGGGCGUAAAGCGUGCGUAGGCGGCGUGUUAAGUGUGAUGUUAAAUCGUGGGGCUCAACCCUAUCGGUGCAUUGCAUACUGGCAUGCUAGAGGAAGGCAGAGGCAAGUGGAAUUUGUAGUGUAGCAGUGAAAUGCGUAGAUAUUACAAGGAACACCAAUGGCGAAGGCAGCUUGCUGGGCCUUUUCUGACGCUGAGGUACGAAAGCGUGGGGAGCGAACAGG